rnacentral:rRNA from 1 species
GACGAACGCUGGCGGCGUGCUUAACACAUGCAAGUCGAACGAAGUGGCGAACGGGUGAGUAACGCGUAAUCAACCUGCCCUUCAGAGGGGGACAACAGUUGGAAACGACUGCUAAUACCGCAUACUGAAGGAGGGGUUUGCGUCGGAUUAGCUAGUAGGUAAGGUAAUGGCUUACUUAGGCGACGAUCCCUAGCUUGGCUGGGAGGAUGAUCAGCCACACUGGGACUGAGACACGGCCCAGACUCCUACGGGAGGCAGCAGUGGGGAAUCUUCCGCAAUGGACGAAAGUCUGACGGAGCAAAGCCGCGUGAGUGAUGACGGCCUUCGGGUUGUAAAGCUCUGUUAAUCGGGACGCGGUACCGGAAUAGAAAGCCACGGCUAACUACGUGCCAGCAGCCGCGGUAAUAC